CCCUCCUGUACCCCUGUACCCUGCUCUACCCUUUCACCCUGCUUUACUUCUGUAUCCUGCUCUACCUCUACAAUCAGCCCUGCCCUUAUACCAGUUCCAGGAUCUUCUUGCAUUAUGUUCACCUCACAUAAGGGGAUCCAGUGUCCCUGGGAAGGAGAUUAUAAAAUGCCGAAUUCCAUCCUUGGCCCAAGUAAUUCCACUGUGAUUCAGUCUGUUUGUAACAGCAGGUAAUGUCUGUCUGUCUGUCUGUCUGUCUGUGCUGUUACUGAGCCAUAUAAUACUCUGUGUUUGCUGUACUCCAAG